AGGGUGCCAUCCGCUAUUGCUAGCAAUGGCAAAUCUAGUUAUUAUUAUUUUUCUUGCAACACAUUUUGUCCAGGUGAUUUCUCGAAAUCCAAUGGACCAAUGUUGAUGGAACUCUACUAUAGUGAGGACCCCCAUGUCAAGUUGUGCACGAAGCAUGGAAUGGUUUAAGAUGGCUGCCGUUACCAUGGAAACGGAACAAAUGUGGAAAAAUCC
rnacentral:lncRNA from 1 species